rnacentral:RNase_P_RNA from 1 species
UUGGAAAGUCUGAUGCUAAUUUUCCGUAAAAUACUUUUUGAUAUAAUUUUUUAUAUUCGGAGAGUUAUUUAGGAUAAGAAUCUUGGUAUUUAAAUAAAAUUAUUUAUCAUAUAUUGUAAAUAGUUAAUAAAUUAUAUCAAUAAAUAUGAUAGUGUAAUAGAUAAUAAGCCUAUGGUUAGCUUUUUUUAGUUAGCUUCAAAUUAAAACAAAAAUCAGCUUAU